UACGGAGGGUGCAAGCGUUAUCCGGAUUCACUGGGUUUAAAGGGUGCGUAGGAGGGCAGGUAAGUCAGUGGUGAAAUCUUCGAGCUUAACUCGGAAACUGCCGUUGAUACUAUCUGUCUUGAAUAUCGUGGAGGUGAGCGGAAUAUGUCAUGUAGCGGUGAAAUGCUUAGAUAUGACAUAGAACACCGAUUGCGAAGGCAGCUCGCUACACGAAUAUUGACUCUGAGGCACGAAAGCGUGGGGAUCAAACAGG
rnacentral:misc_RNA from 1 species